rnacentral:rRNA from 1 species
UGAGCAAUCUGCCCUUCUCAUCGGAAUAAGCGUUGGAAACGACGUCUAAUGCCGAAUACGACCUCCUUUCGCAUGAUCGGAGGUGGAAAGCUCCGGCGGAGAAGGAUUAGCUCGCGGCCUAUCAGCUAGUUGGUGUGGGUAAUGGCCCACAAGGCGACGACGGGUAGCCGGCCUGAGAGGGUGACCGGCCACACGUGGGACUGAGACACGGCCCAGACCUCCGUACGGGAGGCAGCG